rnacentral:rRNA from 1 species
UACGAAGGGAGCUAGCGUUGUUCGGAAUCACUGGGCGGAAAGCGCACGUAGGCGGAUGUGUCAGUCAGGGGUGAAAUCCCGGAGCUCAACUUCGGAACUGCCUCUGAUACAGCACGUCUUGAGUCCGAUAGAGGUGGGUGGAAUUCCUAGUGUAGAGGUGAAAUUCGUAGAUAUUAGGAAGAACACCGGUGGCGAAGGCGGCCCACUGGAUCGGUACUGACGCUGAGGUGCGAAAGCGUGGGGAGCAAACAGG